GCAGCUAGCUAUCUAAUAUCAAUGUCGGCCUUUGCCUCUCCCCCUUUUACGAGAAAAGAUAAGGGGUUGUUUGUCAGGCCUGCCCUUGACAGUAGAAGGCCCUGC
rnacentral:pre_miRNA from 1 species